rnacentral:rRNA from 1 species
ACAGGCUCGUCGCGGGCGAGAGUCCACAUCGACCCCGCGGCUCGGUACCUCGAUGUCGGCUCUCCCCAACCUGGCCUCGCAUAAGGGGCCAAGGGUGAGGCUGUUCGCCUAUUAAAGGGGAACGUGAGCUGGGUUUAGACCGUCGUGAGACAGGUCGGACUCUAUCUGCUGGGGGUGUAGGCUGCCUGAGGGGAAGGUGCUCUUAGUACGAGAGGAACUGAGCGUCGCAGCCUCCGAUGUACCGGUUGUCCGACCGGGCACCGCCGGGUAGCUGCGCUGUCGCCGAUAAGGGCUGAAUGCAUCUAAGCCCGAAGCGGCUCCCGAAAAGAGGCAGCCAUUCUGGGGUUUAAG